rnacentral:rRNA from 1 species
UGCGGCGACAAUAGCGCGGCGGUCCCACCUGACCCCAUGCCGAACUCAGAAGUGAAACGUCGUAGCGCCGAUGGUAGUGUGGGGUCUCCCCAUGUGAGUAGGGAAUCGCCGGGC